AAAUAAGAAGUAAAAAAUCCUUACAUUUAAUUUCGACUUAAAAUUUGGGACCCGCGCUCCCCUUAUUUA
rnacentral:tRNA from 1 species